AUAUAUAUUUAACUCGAAGGAACCUAUUCUGUAAAAAAUCAGUCGGUCCAUCAUUAAUGUCUUUUUUAGCUGGAGGAUGAAGGUGAACUGUCCCUUUAACAGGUGCGUUGCGUUCGCAGCGCGUGUGCGUGAUGACGUCACCCGGAAGAGAGCCCAGUGUUGCUACGUGAUGGUUGCGAGGAGACCGGAGGAGUCGGGUCCAUGGCGGGUGACUGGAGUUGUCUUCGGAGGAGAUGGACUGUCUGUGUCCUGUCCUUUCUGACGAGGGAGGUAAAGCGUGGAAGAGACUCUGUGGAGGCUGGCUGCUGCUGGACUCACUUUUCUGGACGGCGUUUGGAUUUUACGGGAAGCGGAUCUUCGGCACGGAGGAGGCGCGGCGGAGAAGUUAUUCGGCUUCUGCGGUUGGUCUGCUGGCGUCGGGCUGAUUGGACGUGGUUCGUCCUGAUUUCGCCGCGAUUAGAUCGUUGUCCGAUGGGGGAUGCGUGAGACGAAGACCGUACUCAAGAUGAGUUUCUGAACGGGGGUCCAUCUGUCCGGCUGUAAAGUCUUCCUCCUCCUCCUCCUCCUCCUCCUCCUCCUGCAGUGGUUGGUUGCUGGUGAGUCCUGUUCAGUGUGUUUUCAUGGCAGCCAUAUUUGGUGUUAAAUUUAAAUUACAUGUUGAUGGGUUGAUGAGGAAGAAAGAUGCAGAAAUAGAGAGAAUAGAGACAUUCAUAAGUGUGAAUACAGUCCUUUAUGUUGAGUUUUAUUGAGAUAUGCAGAUGAAGAAGUAGAGAAAUAUAGAGAGAUAUUGUUGAGUUUGAUGCAGAUCAAAGAUCUAAUAGGAGAAACUAUUAAAAUAUAUGAUAGACACAUUUUUACAGUUAUACAUAGAGAAAUAUAGAAAUGAAGAGUAUGUAUAGAACCACAUAUGCAGCUACUUAUAUAUACAUAUUCAAAGAGAUAUACUAGAUAAUACACAGCUUAAUUGAGAUAAAACAGACUAAAUAUAGAGAUUUAUUUACACGUCGUGGUAAAAUAGGGAUUUAUAGACAUACAUAUGUAAGGUAAUAUACAAAAAAAUGACAUGUUGAGAUUUUAUAGAGUUAUAGGUAAGAUAACAAUGAUUAAUUAGUUAUUAGAGAUAAUAUAGGCAUUGAAAUUGAUGCAGUAUGUGGAGCUGAAACAGAGAUUUGCAUAGAGAAAACUUUAUUUAUAGAAAUUUAUAAAUACACAUUAUACACAUACAAAACAAUAUUUUUGUUGUUUAUAAAUUAAUUCUUCAUUUAAUUUAACAGAGCUUCAUAAAGUAGAGUUAUACAGAGACACAAACAAGACAUGCUGCUGUUUUAAAUAUAUAUACAAAUUUUAUAUUAGUACAGAUAAUACAGACAUUAAAAUAAUUACAGUAUAUAUAAACAUAUAGAGAUGAGAGAAUAAUUUAUUUGAAAUAAAACAGAUGUGUAGAGGUAGUAUGGAGAAUUAUAGAGAUACAUAAAACACAAACAUAUAUAGAGAUAUAAAUACUUAUGUAGAUCAUUUUGAGUUUGUUGGUUGGAGAAACAGUAUGUAAACAUAAUAAAGCUAUUUAUAUAGACAUAUGCUGAGAUAAUAGUAAUAGAUAUAAAACAAAUGUCUUUAUAGGGGGUGUUUGUGGGAGAAAAUAGGUAUAGUGCAUCAAAAUAAGAGCUUCAUAUAUGCACAGAUAAUACACAGAAGAGAUUCAUACACAGAGAUAAAAUAUAUACAUUUUAAUUUGUUUUAUAAGAUGUAGAGAUAAUUAGAAAUUAAAAUGUUAUAAAAAAGAGUUGACGUAUUGUAGAUGAGUAUAGUGAUACAUAAAGAAGAACACGUAAAAAUGUCUAUAGAUCCAUUGUAUAUAUAGUUAUUAUAUAUAAAUAUAUAGAGAUAUUAUAUGCAUUUGUAGAGAUUAAAUAGAGAUGAUGCAGAUAUAUGAAGGCAACUCUUUUAUUUUAAUUCAAAUAUAUUGUACAUAUUUUUUUAGUUUUUUUGUAUUUGUAUUGUUAUUUUCUUCUAUUCUAUAUUACUACUUACUUUUAUUUUUUAAUUUAAUUUUGUAUUAUUAUUUUCAUGUUAUGCACCAAUGCACAAAAGUAUAUUCCUUAUAUGUGAAAACCUAAUUGGCAAUAAACCAGAUUCUGAUGUGUUAUGUAACUGUAAUAAUAUAAUAAGGAUAUUACUGCAGUAUCUAUUCUUUGCCAUUUGGGAAAAAAACUGAGAAAAGUAAAGCACACUUCCAUCUAUCUUCUCGCCCAUUUCUUCUUCUUCUUCUUUCCUCCUCCUCCUCUUUCUCUUCUUCCUUUAUUCUCUUCAAGUCUUUUCAAACUUUUCGGACCUGCUGCCUCUUUUGUUACGGUUCUGUUGGCCGUGAAAUCGGCUUUUAAUGGGAACACAAUGGCCGCGUGCAGAGUCGACCCGCUGUAUUCAAAUGUGACCGCACGCCAUUAUCACUGCGUUUCCAACUCUAAAUAAACACUCAUUUAACAGCCUUUCAUCUCACACCUUUAUGAAUUUCUAUGUUCGUCAUUGUGCAAUCUUGAACUGUUGCUGAACUCCAUCUAACUGCAACGAAACAGCCGUCUCAAAAUCUGACUUUCACGGCUUUCGUACAUGACAUUUGAUUCUUAAAUCACUAACACGACCAAAAUACCUCACAAUGUGACAGGUAAAACUACAUCUAAGGUUGUAUGACUUUUUAAAGGAUUCAUUAUUACACACAAAAAAAAGAAAGCAGGAAAAAAGAAGCAAAAGUAAGUAGUGUUUAACCGAUGCUGUCAUGCGUUUAAAAAUAAAGGAUGUUGAACUCA